AUGUUGACUUGUUGUCAUCUGUGUAGUACAUUUCACACUUCAGACACCCAAGCUAUCUUCAGUGUUCAGAGUUGUUGCCCUCUUCUAUUCAGCAGUCUGCGCCGCCACGUCUUCAUUCACCUCUGUAAUAACCUUAAGAAGGUCCACUGGGGUUGCAGCAGGAUCGAGCUCAUGACAACCUUCCGGGGCAUUGUUGCCUUCUUCACCAGUCAGCAGUCGAGAAGGAACCUGAUGCGAGAAUCGAAACAGCUCACCCUUUGGUAUCCUCCUCACCUCCUUGGGGUCCAUGUGCCUAUGGAACACAGCUUUGAAGCCAGCAACCUUCAACAAUGGAAUGACGGUCAGCCCUUGCUCCUCAGUGAAAUCAUCAAUAACUUCAACAAUCUCGUAUUUAUAUAUCACAUCAUCAGGUGUAAGCUCGUUCCAAUCAGGAGACCAGUCUCGGUACAAAGCCCAUGUAUCACCUUUCUGAGGAAUAAUUCUGAUAAUCCCACGGGGGCCUUUAGUCCAGCUGACUUUGUGCGAAAAUAUGUUGACUGUUUCCGUAAUCUGGUACCUUCCAACCCUAAAAUCGCCACAUGUUUUCUGGAAACCAGAGGCAACCCAGUUUAUUGGCGACAGUUCAAUAUUGGAUUUGGAAUUGAGGAAACUCAUGCGGAUUCUGAAAGGUCUCAUUGA
rnacentral:rRNA from 1 species